rnacentral:rRNA from 1 species
GCAAGUCGAGCGGUAACAUUUCUAGCUUGCUAUUCGGCGUCGAGCGGCGGACGGGUGAGUAAUGCUUGGGAAUAUGCCUUUGAGUGGGGGACAACAGUUGGAAACGACUGCUAAUACCGCAUAAUGUCUACGGACCAAAGGGGGGGAUCUUCGGACCUCUCGCCAUUUGAUUAGCCCAAGUGAGAUUAGCUAGUUGGUGAGGUAAUGGCUCACCAAGGCGACGAUCUCUAGCUGGUUUGAGAGGAUGAUC